CACGUAGGGCGCAAGCGUUGUCCGGAAUUAUUGGGCGUAAAGAGCUCGUAGGUGGUUUGUCGCGUUGUUCGUGAAAACUCACAGCUCAACUGUGGGCGUGCGGGCGAUACGGGCAGACUGGAGUACUGCAGGGGAGACUGGAAUUCCUGGUGUAGCGGUGAAAUGCGCAGAUAUCAGGAGGAACACCGAUGGCGAAGGCAGGUCUCUGGGCCGAUACUGACGCUGAGGAGCGAAAGCGUGGGGAGCGAACAGG
rnacentral:rRNA from 1 species